CUGUGCGAGACCUCACGGCCAAGUUUUCUAACGAUUACGUAACAGUGUUUUAAUCUUCACACUCUCAAAUAAAUGAAGUUAUGUAAAUCAAUUUUGUGUAGCCUUUGUUUCAAAAUAUUAUCUGUAUUUUGCACCAUUUACAAAUGUAAAAUAGUAUUGUUGAAAAUUCAGAAGUUUUUGAAUUUGUCAACACUUGGAGAUUAUUUUUCUCGUGCCGUAGACCGACUGUAGAAGAAAAAAAGGAGUCAGAUUAUUUUCUUAGUGCUGUGUUUAAAGUUAUGUAUUAUUGACGCAACAGAUUAUGAGAUACAGAUGAAACAUGCAGGGAACCAUGUAAAUGAUUCUGAAAGUGGCUACCCAGGUGCUGUAUAAGGAAGCUUGUAAUAGGAGUGGAAAACCACCCAAAAACUAUACGUCUCAAAAUGCCAGUAGAGACAUAGAAAGAAGAGAGGAACUAGCUGGGAUAUCAUUAUGAAGAACCUAACCUCCUUGGAGUCAAACUAUUCAGAGGGAAUGCAGAUACUGAGACACCCUAGCUCAUCUAGGAAGUCGGGAAGAAAAAAGCGAGCCAAUGUUCAGUGCCAUACUUGGACCACUGCAGAAAAGGCAGCUUUGUAAAGACAAUAUGAGACUUUCAUCAAACUAGGAAAAACUCUGGCUCAGGUUGACUGUCUAAAAUCCAUUUGGAAGGAGAAAUCACUGUCCAGUUUAACAUGGUGUCGUGGAAAGUUUGCUGUUAAAAAUAUUACUUCCUGGCAGAGAUGUUACAAAGAGUUAAUCCAAUUUUUAUGCCCCCUCCAUUUGAAAGAGAGGGGACGUAUAUAUUGUUUUACAUGACUAAUUCGGUCUGUAGAGCAAAUCUUGUCUGCUCAAUAUCUAAUGAAUUCUUUUGCUUGACUGUUUCCAAACUUGGUACAAUGAUUGCCCCUAGAUAGUGAAUGACCCAUAUUAAUUUACAGGUCACAGGGUCAAGGGUCAAACUGGACACAGUAAGAUAUUGUCUGUUCAAUAUCUUGAGAACGCUUUCCUGACAGACAUCAAACUCGGUAUACUGGUUUCUUUUAAGAAGUAGAUGGUUUCUUUUAAGAAGUAUAUGUCCCAUAAUGUCCCCUAUUCAUUUUGAAGUCACAAGAACAAAGAUCAAACUGUACAUAAUAAAGAUAUUGUCUACACAAUAUCUUGAGUUUGUGUUUCUUGACAGACAUCAAACUUGGUACACUGACACAUCAUAAGUGUAGAUAUCUAGUAUUCAUUUUAAGGUCAAUGGUCAAACUACUCUGGACAUCAGAUUUUGUCCAUUCAGUAUCUUGAGAACCCUUGUUUGACAAACAUCAAACUUGGUAGUCUGAUGCCGCCUAAAGAAUAGAUGGUCCCCAUUGGUUUUAAACUUUCAAGGUCAAAGGUCAGGACUCAAAUAACUGGUUAUUUGAAAAUGUCUGCUCAGUACCUUUAGAAAUCACAUAUAAUGGUUGCCUCUGACUAAUAGAUACAUUGUAACCCUUAAUUUUCACUUUUGCUACAGACAUUCUAAAUGAUCAUUUUCAAUAUUGUAAUAUGGAGGCAUAUAUGUUUCUUAAAUCUCUCUUGUAAAUGGUUUUGAUACUAGUUUUAUAUACAAGAUGUAUUAUCAGCAUUUGUCAUUCAUUGUACACCAUACAUUGGUUCAUUCAAAAUUGAUAAAUAUAUAAUCAACAGCAGUACACAUGAAAUAAUUCUCCAUCUAUAUCUUGAAUUGAACAAAAAGUUUAAUGGUAUUCCAUGGCCUUAUAUUCAUGUGCGAUUGAAAGACUGAAUUAAUAUACUAAGAUAAUAUAACAGUAUUUAACUAAAACUAACUGCAGUUUAACACUAAUGUACUUAUAAUGUAAUUGAUAGUACCACACUCUUACUUGUAACUUGUUUUCAUUUUUAUUCAAUAGAUAUUUCAAGUUUGAUAGCUAACUCAAAUUUCAAAUAUGAAUGAACAUUAAGUGUCUGCUGUUUUAAGACUAAAGAGUAGCUUUAUUUACAUAUGAGGUUUUUUGAGCUAAAUUGAUCAGCUUUGUAUGCUUAUGAAAUAAAUAUGUACACCUAUA